rnacentral:misc_RNA from 1 species
AAAGAGACAAAUGCAUUUUGGUCCAUUUUCGUUGCAGCGGCAGUAAUGGGCCUUGUAAUUCUUGGCCAGCGCUGGCAACAGGAAAGGUGGCGGGCUUUGCAACUCAAGUGGCAGGCUAGCAUUAAUGAGAAAAGUGGCAGGAUGUUGGGACCUAUAUCACGACUUAAGGAUGUGAUUGUGGGUGGCCAUCGCCGUGGAGCCCUUAUCAGGGGAAGUUCCUCAAAU